rnacentral:rRNA from 1 species
AGAGUUUGAUCCUGGCUCAGGAUGAACGCCCUCGACAGGCUUAACACAUGCAAGUCGAGGGGCAGCGGGGGCGUAGCAAUAUGCCUGCCGGCGACCGGCGCACGGGUGAGUAACACGUAUGUAACCUGCCCUAUGCAGGGGGAUAACCCGGAGAAAUCCGGCCUAAUACCGCGUAACACCUUAGGGGAGCAUUCUCUUGAGGUUAAAGGAGAGAUCCGGCAUAGGAUGGACAUGCGUCGCAUUAGGUAGACGGCGGGGUAACGGCCCACCGUGCCGACGAUGCGUAGGGGUUCUGAGAGGAAGGCCCCCCACACUGGUACUGAGACACGGACCAGACUCCUACGGGAGGCAGCAGUGAGGAAUAUUGGUCAAUGGCCGAGAGGCUGAACCAGCCAAGUCGCGUGAGGGAAGAAUGUCCUAAGGAUUGUAAACCUCUUUUGUCGGGGAGCAAAAAGGCUCUGCGGAGUCGUAUUGAGAGUACCCGAAGAAAAAGCAUCGGCUAACUCCGUGCCAGCAGCCGCGGUAAUACGGAGGAUGCGAGCGUUAUCCGGAUUUAUUGGGUUUAAAGGGUGCGCAGGCGGCGUGUCAAGCAAGCGGUAAAAUAGCGGGGCUCAACCCCGUCGAGCCGUUUGAACUGGCGCGCUUGAGUUCAGGCGAGGUAGGCGGAAUUCGUGGUGUAGCGGUGAAAUGCAUAGAUAUCACGAAGAACUCCGAUUGCGAAGGCAGCUUACCAGUCUGCGACUGACGCUCAGGCACGAAAGUGUGGGUAUCGAACAGGAUUAGAUACCCUGGUAGUCCACACAGUAAACGAUGAGCGCUAGGUGUCCGGGUCGCAUGAGACUUGGGUGCCCGAGCGAAAGCGUUAAGCGCUCCACCUGGGGAGUACGCCGGCAACGGUGAAACUCAAAGGAAUUGACGGGGGCCCGCACAAGCGGAGGAACAUGUGGUUUAAUUCGAUGAUACGCGAGGAACCUUACCCGGGCUCAAACGACUCAGGAAUAUAUUGGAAACGAUGUAGCCAGCAAUGGUCUGAGUCGAGGUGCUGCAUGGUUGUCGUCAGCUCGUGCCGUGAGGUGUCGGCUUAAGUGCCAUAACGAGCGCAACCCCUACCGACAGUUGCUAACAGGUCAAGCUGAGGACUCUGUCGAGACUGCCGGCGCAAGCUGUGAGGAAGGCGGGGAUGACGUCAAAUCAGCACGGCCCUUACGUCCGGGGCGACACACGUGUUACAAUGGCGGGGACAGCGGGAAGCCACCUGGCGACAGGGAGCGGAACCCGAAACCCCGUCUCAGUUCGGAUUGGAGUCUGCAACCCGACUCCAUGAAGCUGGAUUCGCUAGUAAUCGCGCAUCAGCCACGGCGCGGUGAAUACGUUCCCGGGCCUUGCACACACCGCCCGUCAAG